rnacentral:lncRNA from 10 species
GUUUUUAAAAAAAGCUUUAUUGACACAUAAUGAUUGCACACAUUUAUGGGGUACAUGUGAUAUUUUGGUACGUACGUAUAAUGUGUAAUGAUCUAAUUAGGGUAUUUAAAAUAUCCAUUGCCUUGAACAUUUAUAAUUUCUCUGUGUUGGGAGUAUUUCAAAUCUUCUAGCUAUUUUGAAAUAUACAAUAAAUUGUUAACUACAGUCAGCCUACUGUGCUAUCAGAAGAGUAUGGAGGUUUCUCAAACAACGAAACAUAGAACUACCAUAUGAUCCAGCAAUCACACUACUGGCCAUUUAUCCAAGGGAAAGGAAAUUGGUAUAUCAAAGGGACACCUGCACCCCUAUGUUUAUUGCAGCACUAUUCACAAUAGCCAAGAUAGGGAAUCAACUUAAGUGCCCAUCAGCUGACGAAUGGAUAAACAAAAUGUGGCAUAUAUGCACAAUGGAAUACCAUUGGUUAAAGGGUACAAACACACAGUUAGAUAUAAGGAAUAAGUUCUAGUGUCCUCAAGUGCUUUUAGAUAGUUAUUUAAGUUGUUUCCCAGGGUUUAUAAUUGCUAGCUAUGGGAGGUUUGGUUCAAUGUGACUUACUUUGCCAUUACUGGAAGUAAAACAUGUACUCUGCCUUUAAUUAUGAAAAGAAUGAGCCAUUGACUUUCUUGCCUGAAGAGGUUGAAUGCAAUUUAAUUGUGAAAGUGAGGGAUGUCUACCUCAGUCGAAAUGGAGAAUGCAAAUAGGGAUGAAUUCCUUAGUUACCAUAGGCAAAAAAGGUUUCAUGUGUAGAUCUAUAUAUUUAGAAAAGUGAAACAUUAAUUUAAAUAAAUCAUGUUCUUACCAGAAUGCCUUAAUUCGAAAUAUGUGAGCUCUUAUAACAAAUUAUUGGAAUUGACUUUCCUCCAUAGCAUACAGUGUCUUAAACCAUAGCAUGUUCCCUUCAGCUACACUCUCAGCUGAAAUAAAUUUGCAUGUGUGUGUAUACACACAUACGUAUGUGUCAGGUAUGAACAUAUAAUAAAUAUAUAGAGAUAUAUUUUCAAGGGAAAAUGUAAUCUUAUCAUAACAUCUCUUUGCAACAUGCUUUUUUCACAAAACAGCAUAUUUUCCAAGUAAUGGAACACAUUUCUAACAUGUUAUUUUUUUGGUUUGCUUCACAAACAGGCUUAUCCUGCGUUUUCAAAAAUAUUAUUUUGUUUACUUUACCUGGUUAUAAAAUUAAUGUAAAUUUUCUGCCCAAAACAAGUAAUUGUUUUGUAUUUUCCUUUUCCUCUAUCUAUAUUAUGGUAUUAAUUCAGUUAUAUAAAUUAUAAAUCAACAUAUACAUUUUGUGUGUGUGUGUGUGUGUGUGUGUGUGUGUGUGCGUGUGUGUAUAUAUACACACACACGCAAGGAAAGAAAAUGUUUCUAAAUUUUUAACUUUGUUUAUCAGUAGGUGUCAUCAACCCUAAACAACAGCUAAUGUCCUUUCUGUCUCUAUGGCUAUGCUUAUUCUGGAUGUGUCUUACAAAUGGAAUCAUACAGUAUGUGACCUUUUGCAUCUGACUUAUUUUAGUUAGCAUAAUGUUUUUAAGGUACGUGCCAGUAAUUUUUUAUGGCUGAAUAAUAUUCCAUUGUAUAGAUGUACCACAAUUCACUUGUACAUUUAUCAAUUGAUGGGCACUGGAUUGUUUCCAUCUUUUGGCUACUAUUUAUAAUGUUGCUGUAAAUAUUCAUGUACAAGUUUUUGCUUGAACACCUGUUUUCAAUUCUCUUAUGUAAAGACCUAGGAGUGGAAUUGCAGGCCGUGUGUUCAUUUUUAAACAAAGCUGAUUUUACCUGUGAAAAAUUGAUUAAAACAAAUAGACAAAUAAAUAAACAAACCUGUUUUUAUGGUAUUACCAAAUGGCUGCCUGGGAGCAAAGAGACCAUCAGGGAAUAUGGACAAAUAAAAUACUUGAACCUUUGAGAGAGGGUAUUUACCAGGUAAUGGUUUUCUACGGUUACACAUAAAUAUUAAAAAUGCAGAAGGCAGCAGGAGUUGCUUCUGUUACUGGAAAUCCAAAUCCAUUAAAUUCAUUCUCUAGGCUUUUAGGCACUUAGGGUUAUGUUGAGUAUUUGUGACACAAUUCUUACAAAGGCAUAAAGCAUACCAUUCUGUAAACAGGCAAAGACUGUUCAGACAAAUAUCUAUGCCUAAUGUGAGCCGAUUCAAUUGAAAUGCUGUCCCCACAUCACUCACUGGGUCAGAGGAAAAUAUCAUGGCCAGAGAUAACUUGGCACAGAACUGAAUUUAUCCAAGAUGUAUUAUCUUUGAAUACCCCAUUGUGACCUGCCAGCUGGAGGUCACACAAGAAAAUAUGACAGCACUAAAUAUGGCAAACAAAAGUUCAUUCUGUCCCAUCAAACAUUUUUCUAAUGUGGUAUUUAAAAGUUUUUUCAAAUACGAACUUCCUUUAUUUGUUUAAAAAUGGAAAAAUGUGCUUGUUUAUCAUAUUCACCUCAGAAAGUCUAUGUGGCACAUCAGGGAUGUGACGUAGAAAACUUUUAACUCCAGGAAAGCCAAACUCAAAAGCCUAUGGGGUCAAGUUGAUAAUGUAGAUAAUACAAGCAGGGCUAUACAAAAAUAACAAGAACUUUUGCUAACACAAGUUAGUACCCUCUCUCCAGUUUUACGGAAAUGAACAGUAGUCUUAGUCUUUUCUUCACCACUUUUCACAAAUUUUAUUUUUUAGCCGGGCACGAUGGCAUGUGCCUAUUGUCCCAUCUUACUUCAGGAGGCUGAAGUGGGAGAAUUCCUUGAUCCCAGGAGUUUGAGACUACCCUGGGCAACAUAGUGAGACCCCGUCUCUAAAACAAUAAAUAAAUAAAAUUUUAUUUUGAAUAGAGAAGUAAUAAUUGUAUUAUUUAUUAGGUACAAUGUGAUGCUUUGAGAUACGUAGAUAGAUAGGUAGCUAGAUAGAUAGAUACACACAGAUUGUGGAAUGAUGAAAUCAAAUGAAUUAACAUAGCCAUCACCUCACCUAUUUAUCGUUUAUUUUUAGUCAGAAUGUUUAAAAUCUACUCUUUUAACAACAAAUAUUUUACUUUUUACUGUAAGAAAAACAACAGCAAUAACAGUACAAUAAAGACUAAUAUUCUGUGUAUGUGUGGGGAUAGGAAGUGACAGGAACCACAGUGACUGGGGAUAAAGAAGCUGCUACUCAGCUCCAGCCAGUUGUUUCCUUAAGGGCAUGCAGGAAUCAGUAGCAUUCAGUAGCAUUUCUAUAUACUAAUAACAUCCAAACUGAGAGCCAAAUCAAGAACACAAUCCCAUUCAGAAUAGCCAAAAAAAGAACAAAAUACCUAGAAUAAUACCUGAAUAAUAUUCCAUUGUAUGGAUGUACCACAUUUCACUUGUACAUUUAUAAAUUGACAGCCAAGGGGUGUGUGAACCAGCAUGGGGUCCACCCACCGUGCAGUCCGAUAUGCUGGCUGCUGCAGCACAGCAGGAAACUCCAGGUUCCAGCAUGGGUGCUGGCUCUCUGCAAGGCUGCAGCUGGACCAGGAACACUGCAAGCAGCCUCCACAACUGGCACUUGGGAACACGGUGGCAUCCAGAAGCUUGUAGAUACCAGGAACUACAGGGCCCAAAGAGGGAGUCAUAGCCCUGCCUUGGGGAACUCCCAGGUCUGGGCUUCCAGAAGAGCCACAGGUGUUCUUUCCUUCUUUUGGGCCACAACGUGUUGAGCAAGGGAUAUAAUAUGUUUUGGCUGUGUUCCCACCCAAAUCUCAUCUUCAGUCCCCAUGUGUUGUGGGAGGGACCCGGUGGGAGGUAAUUGAAUCAUGAGGACAGGUCUAUCCCAUGCUGUUCUCACAAUAGUGAAUAAGCCUCAUGAGAUCAAAUGGUUUUAAAAAUGGGAGUUUCCCCACACAGGCUCUCUCUUUGCCUGCCACCGUCCAUGUAAGACAUGACUUGCUCCUCCUUGCCUUCCACCAUGAUUGUGAGGCCUCCCCAGCCAUGGGGAACUAUAAAACCUCUUUUUCUUCCCAGUCUCAGGCAUGUCUUUAUCACCAGCAUGAAAUGGACUGAUACAGAGCAUGUCUGAGCCCUGUUUGUGUUACAGCUCUGUUAGCCUCAUUUGGCAGGUCCUGAGUUCUUAUCUUGUGCCCAGGAAGAAUGAGAUAUGCAGGCAAGUGGAGGGUGAGCAAGAUGAAGAGGAGCUUUAUUGAGCAAUAGGACAGCUCAGAGGAAAUCCACAGGGGACAGCUCCUUUCCACAGGCAGGAUGUUCCAAUGAGUGUUCAUCUCCUAGCAGAGAGGAUAGCUCCUCUCUGCUAGGCAAGUUCUGCUAGAACACUUGCCUGACAAGUGUUCAGCUAUCAACAGAGAGUGUAGCUCCUCUCUGUACCUGAUUGUCCUGUUGUCUGUGCAGCUCUCAGCAGACAGGAGGCCCUAGAGUGGGUGGCUCAUCUCUGCAGGCAGGUCAUCCUGUCGUCUCUGCAGCUCUCAGCAGAGAGGAGGCCUUAGAAUGGCUUUUUCCUCUCUGCAGCUGUUCAGCCU